ACACAGACAUGUAGUGACACAGCAGACAUGUAGGGGACACAGAUGUAGGGACCCAUAUAGGGACACAGACAUGUAGGGGACACAGAUGUAGGGACACAUAUAGGGACACAGACAUGUAGGGGAAACAGUUAUGUAGGGACACAACAGACAUGUAGGGGACACAGUUAUGUAGUGACACAGCAGACAUGUAGGGGACACAGACAUGUAGGGGACACAGAUGUAGGGACACAUAUAGGGACACAGACAUGUAGGGGACACAGUUAUGUAGGGACACAACAGACAUGUAGGGGACACAGUUAUGUAGUGACACAGCAGACAUGUAGGGGACACAGACAUGUAGGGACACAGACAUGUAGGGACACAGACAUGUUGGGGACACAGAUAUGUAGGGACACAGACAUGUAGGGGACACAGUUAUGUUGGGGACACAGACAUGUAGUGACACAGCAGACAUGCAGUGACACAGCAGACAUGUAGGGGACACAGACAUGUAGGGGACACAGUGUAGGGGACAUGUUUUUAACCCAGCUUUGGUGGUGAAGGGAAGAGGAAGAGGAAGAGGAUCAGGAAAAGGAAACCAACAGAAAAGAAAAGAGACACAGGGUCUCCCGGGACCUCCUAAAAUCCUGGAUGUGACUGAGCCAGCUGCUCAACCCCAGUACAGUUCUGGUACUGGCCUUGGUACUGGCUCUGGUUCCUAUAUGAAGCACUCUUGCUGGAGCUCAGUUGGAGGAUGUAGUUGCCAUGGUGAGGCUGUGUGUUUCCUGUCCUGUGAUUGGCUGAAGGAGGUGUGGGUGGAUGGACUAAGUCUCUCAAAGC
rnacentral:lncRNA from 1 species